rnacentral:rRNA from 1 species
GUGAGGAAUUUUCCGCAAUGGGCGAAAGCCUGACGGAGCAAUGCCGCGUGAAGGAUGAAGGCCUAUGGGUUGUAAACUUCUUUUCUCAGAAAAGAAUUAUGACGGUAUCUGAGGAAUAAGCAUCGGCUAACUCUGUGCCAGCAGCCGCGGUAAGACAGAGGAUGCAAGCGUUAUCCGGAAUGAUUGGGCGUAAAGCGUCUGUAGGUUGUUUAAAAAGUAUUAUGUCAAAGAUUAGGGCUUAACCCUAGAUAGGCAGAAUAAACUUUUAAGCUAGAGUUUGGUAGAGGCAGAGGGAAUUCCCGGUGGAGCGGUGAAAGGCGUAAAUAUCGGGAGGAACACCAAAGGCGAAGGCACUCUGCUGGGCCAAUACUAACACUGAGAGACGAAAGCGAGGGGAGCAAAUGGGAUUAGAAACCCCUGUAGUCC